AGUUUGAUCCUGGCUCAGGAUGAACGCUGGCGGCGUGCUUAACACAUGCAAGUCAAACCAAGCACCUUGGACAUAUUCUUCGGAUGAAGUCCUUAGUGACUGAAUGGGAGACGGGUGAUUAACGCGUGGGUAACCUGCCUCAUACUGGGGGAUAACAGUUAGAAAUGGCUGCUAAUACCUCAUAACCGCACAGUACCGCAUGGUACGGUGUGAAAAACUCCGGUGGUAUGAGAUGGACCCGCGUUGGAUUAGCUAGUUGGCAGGGUAACGGCCUACCAAGGCGACGAUCCAUAGCCGGCCUGAGAGGGUGGACGGCCACAUUGGGACUGAGACACGGCCCAGACUCCUACGGGAGGCAGCAGUGGGGAAUAUUGCACAAUGGGGGAAACCCUGAUGCAGCGACGCCGCGUGAGCGAAGAAGUAUUUCGGUAUGUAAAGUUCUAUCAGCAGGGAAGAAAAUGACGGUACCUGACUAAGAAGCCCCGGCUAACUACGUGCCAGCAGCCGCGGUAAUACGUAGGGGGCAAGCGUUAUCCGGAUUUACUGGGUGUAAAGGGAGCGCAGACGGAAUGGCAAGUUUGAUGUGAAAGGCCGGGGCUCAACCCCGGGAUUGCAUUGGAAACUGUCAAUCUAGAGUGCCGGAGGGGUAAGUGGAAUUCCUAGUGUAGCGGUGAAAUGCGUAGAUAUUAGGAGGAACACCAGUGGCGAAGGCGGCUUACUGGACGGUAACUGACGUUGAGGCUCGAAAGCGUGGGGAGCAAACAGGAUUAGAUACCCUGGUAGUCCACGCCGUAAACGAUGAAUAGUAGGCGUUGGGGAGCAAAGCUUUUCGCGUGCCGCAGCAAACGCAACAAGUAUUCCACAUGGGGAGUACGCUCGCAAGAAUGAAACUCAAAGGAACAGACGGGGACCCGCACAAGCGGUGGAGCAUGCGGUCUAAUUCGAAGCAACGGGAAGAACCUUACCAUAUCUAGACAUUGAUCUGACCGGAGGGGAAGGAGUCCUUUCCUUUCGGGCACAGAGAAGACAGGUGGUGCAUGGCCGUCGUCAGGUGUUGUGGCGAGAUGUCGGUCUCAGUCCGGCAACGAGCCCUACCAUUCUCGUCAGCAGUCAUCAAGUGAAGGGGGGCACUCCGCGGAGACUACCAGGGACAACGCGGAGGAAGGCGGGGACGAGGCCAAAUCCUCAUGCCCAGCAGGAUAAGGGCUACACACGUCCUACAAGGGUGUAACCAAAGGGAAGCGAUCACGUGCGGGGGAGCAAAUCUCAAAAAUAACGUGUCAGUUCGGAGUGUAGUAUGCAACUCGAAAACACGAAGCUGCAAUCGUUAGUAAUCACAGGUCAGCAUAAGGCGGUGAACACGUUCCCGGCUCUAGCACACACCGCCCGUCA
rnacentral:rRNA from 1 species